AUCUGCUUCAUCUCCCUGGGCAAUGCCAAGGAAGACCACAGCAAAGAAAAGACAGAUGAACUUCAUGGUUCUUCUAAGACUUGUUCUAUGUUGCUGAAAGGAGUCACAAGGAUGAACUGGCAAUGGACCAAGCAGAGAAGCAAGAGGCAGAGGCAUUGGAAGAUCUGAGUGGUCCUCAGGAUGAAAACCCAGCUGGUUACGAUGAAGCUUUGGAGGAUGAAGGUGAUUGUGACGUACAUGGUGGGCGGGACUGCAUUUCAUUGGGAAGAGUUCACUCAUUGAACUCAGUUAGAAAUACUGCUCCUUGGCUGGAUCAUGAGCUAAUGAUAGUAUUUUCAAUGGUGAUUAGUAGUCUGUACAUGCUCUUAGGCAUGGUCCUCUUGGACAUUACACUGAAACUCUCUAAUAUGUUCUGGAAGGAAUGCUGAGUUGGACCCAAGUAGCUACCUCCUUUUCUGCAGCACUGGAAAUUUCGAGCAGGGCCUGCUAAGAUGUGAGGUGGCCAGCUUGUCCCCUGCAUGUGGUCAUCAAAGAUGUACUGCUUUCAAACAUGGCUGAAGCCACUGAUGAGUGGUCUUCCAUGAUAUCUGAUUUUCAAGGCUAUAUUUAGUGGUACAGCAUCUCACAGAUAAUUGUCUGAAAUAGGAUAUCACCUAGUGCAUUCUUCCCUGAGUGGUUUUGUUUCUUUCGAGUUUGAACUGUGUAAGGGGGAUACACAACGGAUCAGACACAUCUGUGCUUGUUACAGUGGAGUGGGGUGGUCUUAGGUCUGAGGGAAGAGAGGUUGUUGGCCUAUGUUGAAUCUCACAGAGCUAAGCCCGCACUCAGAGAGCCAUGUGCAACCAGAAACUUGCUCUGCGCCCUCUGCUGUUGAUGUGACAGAAAGCAAAAAGUCCAAGAAGGAGCUUAAGGUUUACAAUAAGCAGCCGAAAUAAUGAAACAUGCCAUGUAAGUUCUGGUUCUGGUUGAGAGGGUGGUGGCUUCUCAGCACAAUGAGGAAACAAGGGAACUACUGAAGGAGCAGGCUGGUUUGCUCCUGAGCACAACCUAGCUCAGCAGAGAGAUCUCCUGAUCUGCAUCUGCGUCUAAUGCUUGGUAACUGCUGAGCACAGGCCUUGCAGUGCACAUUCUGCAACACUCCUAAAUGCCAGACAGACGGUUGGGAAGCCUUGUGCAAGAGAAUUUUAUCUGAUGCCAUUAUGGGCCCUGGAGUUGGGUCUUCCAUGCACACAGAAAACUCCCUGCUGCAAAAGAGCCAGGAAGUGCAGUGUGACUUUUUCUUGUGGGUUUAAAUGCAUGACUCCCACCUUACUUUUGACAUGCCUCCCCCUCCACAUGCAGGUGAUGUAGACAGGCAGCAUGGUGCAGUGGUCAGAGUGUUGGGUUCAAAUCUUCAUUCAGCCAUGCAUCUCUCUGGGUGACCUUGGGCCAGUCACUAUUUUCUUUUCACUGUAGCCAACCUCAGAGGUUUGUUGUAAGGAUAAAAGAGGGGGAACCAUUUAUGCUACCUUGAGCUCCUUGGAUGAAAAUGGGGACAGAAAUCCUAUAGUGAAUAACGGGGGGGGGGGGUAAAGGGGCCUUUCCCCUGCUAGCUUAUGUCUUCCUCCAGCUUCCAACCAACCAACCAACCAACCAACCAACCAGGCAACUGCUGGCCAUGGAGAAAUGAAAGCCAGCGAAAUCAGAAAGGCAAAAAUGAUGGAUGAGUAGCUGGCUACUCAAUGCAGACUUGUUAUUACAGAUUCUGUUUGUUUCAUGCUGACUAGCAAUAAGAAAGGCUUCCAUUCAUCAAAUUUUCCCAUUCAUCCCCAAAACAAAUGUUCACCACCAGUGUAAUGCAUAAAGAUAACAUCAUUUCUGCUUUGUGUGAAUGCUUCUAGACUUCCGUGUAACAGGUUCCAUGUAACAGGACUGUUUUUCUCUGAGCAGGAAACAUGAAACGGAGGAAUGGUACCAAUCUAUGUGAGAGUGCCGGUGGUAAAUGCUUUUUCGCCUUCUGCCCUCGUGGAUCUAUGCGCAUUGGAAAAUGCGGCCGAUUCCGUCGCUGCUGUAAAGGUGAAGUCUGCGUUCCUCAUUAAGACAUCUCACCUUUAUUAGUAAAUGUUUAUUACAGCAAAAGGGGGGUGCACAGGUCACCUGCCUGCACAUAGAAUCAUAGAAAUGUAGAGUUGGAAGGGAUGCCAAGAUUCAUCUAGUCCAACCCCCUGCAAUGCAGGAUUCUCAGCUAAAGUAUUUCAUUCAGAAAUUAAAUGAAUGACACCUGGAUACAGCGGUGCCCCGCAAGACGAAUGCCUCGCGAGACGAAAAACUCGCUAGACGAAGGGGUUUUUCGGUUUUGCGUUGCUUCGCUAGACGAAUUUCCCUAUGGGCUUGCUUCGCAAGACGAAAACGUCUUGCGCUUUUUUUUUUAAGCCGCUUGAAGAGGCGCAGUUGCGACGGACCGUGCUUCGCAAGACGAAAAACAUCGCAAGACAAAAAGACUUGCGGAACGAAUUAUUUUCGUCUUGUGAGGCACCACUGUACUUUGGGUAUGGCUGCCCAGUGGUGGACGGUGCCCAUUGGGACUGGUAGGGAGGAAAGCAGAGAGACCUACAGCUGCUGGCACCAAAGCCAAUGGCAGGCAGCCCCAGCUAAUUCUCAUUUGGUCCCCAUCUUCCUCCUCUCUUUGUUCUACUAGAGCAAAAUCAAGCAAGAGGAGGAGGAGGAAGCAGUCAGUCAGGGCCAACAUCUGGACUGACUGCAAGGAAGGAGGUAGGGCAGGUGGCAUGAAGGCUGAUUGAAGUCCAACUGAGGCUUGUGAGGAAUGCCACAGAUGGCCCGGUAAACCAGCCUUCUCUUGUGCUGCCUAAAAUAGACUCUGGCUUUUGACACCUGAGAUGUACCUUCUCUUUAUUUAUGGUCAUAAAUUGUUUUAAAAUGGUUUCAACCCUGAGGGUUUAUCAAACAGAGAAAUUUGGGUUUUCUCCCAGUUGAUGCUUGCUCUGAUUGCACCAAAGAGCAGGUUUUCCCUGUGAACGGUGAAGGGCAAGGGGAAAACCACGUGAACCCGUGGCUAGAAAGUGUGGGUCAAGCAGAGUGUGGGUCUUCCUAGGUAUGGGACAAGUGCAAGUGUGGAUGAGCUCUGAGUGUUAGUUGUUGUAACUCACCGUUGGACCAUCGGGUGAAGGGCAGCUAUUUAAUUACAGGAUGAUCUCUGAUGUCAUUCAGUGUAGACCCAUUGAUUUCAAUGGUCUUGUUAUGAGCAUGACUGCUGGAACUGAUCCAGCACAUAUAUGUAACACUAUAUACUCUCAAGAUGUGUGGCCAUUAAUAAAAUUACCUCUUCCUUCCCUUUUCUUUAGCAAACUGAAGUAACUGAGAGGGAUUUCAAAGCUGGACCAUUCUUUGUUCAUUCACGGAAGAAAUUUAAUUUCAAGUAAUCAUCUCUAUUAAUUUGGGCUCCAAGGAAUCUGAUAUGGCACGAGUCUAUCCUUGCUAAGUCAAGAAUCUCUUCCUUCCUUUCAGCUGUUACUACUACUAAUAAACAAUCAACAGAAACAUUUUUGGCACAUGUGCUUUCUUAUUCCUUCAUAAAAAAAAUAACUCA
ensembl:lncRNA uncharacterized LOC114593382